AGGUCGCCGCAACGGUAAUUCAAUUUAGUACGAGAGGAACCGUUGAUUCAGAUAAUUGGUUUUUGCGGCUGUCUGACCAGGCAGUGCCGCGACGCUACCAUCUGCCGGAUAAUGGCUGAACGCCUCUAAGUCAGAAUCCGUGCCGGAACGCGGCGAUGUUGCCCCGCACGUCGUAGUUGGAUACGAAUAGGCCUCCGGGCCACGAACCUCAGCAGGCUGGCGACGGCUCCCCGGGAGAAGCCCCGGGGAGCUGGCUGGCGGAUUGCAAUGUCACCUCGCGCGGGGAUGAAUCCUCUGCAUACGACUGAAGUGACCAAGCGGGUCGUGUAAGCGGUCAAGUAGCCUUGUUGCUACGAGUCGCUGAGCGUCAGCCCGACCUUGGCUAGAUUU
rnacentral:ncRNA from 1 species